GUAACGAAUAAAUACUCUUUAAGAUUCAUCACCGAGGGGAAAAGAUGGGGCUGGAAAAAAUAGUUCACCUUCUGUCUGUGAAGCAUGACGAUCCCUACCUUUUGGUGUUCCUUUAUUCAUGUUUUGUUUUCUGUGCAUAUCGUGCAUAUCGCGUUUCUUUAUAAUUUUCUAAUGAAUAGCACGCCAAGAAUUGACAGAGAAAGUUGCAUUGAUUUCCGAUUUCAUAUCUGUUAAGUGAUGUAAGCUCCAGCUAUUCCAGUUACAUCAAGGCUGUAAUGAAAAAACAGAACUGCCGCCAUCUGGGGCGAAAUGAUGCGAGUAUGCAGAUUAAAAGAAAAAACUCACCUCAACAUGUGCCUCCAUCAAUAUAUUCCGCAUAAAAGAUGAAAAAAAAAUCCAUCCAUAUAUGAAUUAAAGCUCGAGUGGAUUUGAGCAAAGAAUGAAGCAGUUAGCUUGUGUGUUCGGUUUCACUUUUACUUUGCUCGGCCCUUCAGGCACAAUUCCUACGCAAGACUUACCAGUAACUCCGAUUUGCGUUCAUCGCUGUGGUCAGUUUUGUUCUUGCAGCUUCCCGAAUCCAGCUUCUUAUAUACAAACAGUCCAGUCGAUAUUAAUUAUUUUUACGUUUUGUAAUAAAAUGUAAAACAAUUACACUGGUUUACAUUUAAAUCGUGCCGUCGCAUCUGAAUUGAAAGCGAAAUGCUGGCGGACUUUCCCCGGAAACUGAUGACGCUUCAUUUUAAAAAAACAAAAAACAAAACGCUUAUUUAAAAAACGCAUAAAACUCUAGCCAACACCGCGGCCUUUUAAAAGACGCGCACAAAAUAAUUAAUUAGCAGUUAACUAAUGUCAACGAUGAAAUGUGUCAACAAAAAUAUGUACAAGCAUCUUACAUCACACACUGUGUCCUCACACAGCCCCACGUAGCCUAGGCGUCUCAUUGUCGCAGUAAUAAUAGCCUACUGCUGCGACACCAAGGUUUCCUGGAUCUUUUGUUUUUG
ensembl:lncRNA